rnacentral:rRNA from 1 species
GAUUAACGCUGGCGGCGUGCAUAACACAUGCAAGUCGAACGAUGAAACUUAGUAGACUUCUUCGGAAAGACACUAAGCGGAUUAGUGGCGAACGGGUGAGUAACGCGUGAGUAACCUGCCUUACACAAGGGGAUAGCCUUUGGAAACGAAGAAUAAUACCCUAUAAAACUAUAAAAGCACAUGCUAUAAUGGUCAAAGUGAUAGCGGUGUAAGAUGGACUUGCGUCUGAUUAGCUAGUUGGUGAGAUAAAAGCUCACCAAGGCAACGAGCAGUAGCCGGCUUGAGAGAGUGUACAGCCACAUUGAGACUGAGACACGGCCCAGACUGCUACGGGAGGCAGCAGUGGGGAAUUUUGCACAAUGGGGGAAACCCUGAUGCAGCGACGCCGCGUGAUUUAGAAGGCCUUCGGGUUGUAAAAAUCUUUUGUAUAGGAAGAAAAUGACAGUACUAUACGAAUAAGGUCCGGCUAAUUACGUG